AACGUGGGUAACCUGCCUUAUAGUGGGGGAUAGCCUUUCGAAAGGAAGAUUAAUACCGCAUAAGAUUGUAGUAUCGCAUGAUAUAGCAAUUAAAGGAGCAAUCCGCUAUAAGAUGGACCCGCGUCGCAUUAGCUAGUUGGUGAGGUAAUGGCUCACCAAGGCGACGAUGCGUAGCCGACCUGAGAGGGUGAUCGGCCACACUGGGACUGAGACACGGCCCAGACUCCUACGGGAGGCAGCAUG
rnacentral:rRNA from 1 species